UAUAGUCAUGGCUGCGCCCUGUAAUUCCAGAAGUCUGUGACUUAUCGCGGUUUGACAGAUGCUACCAAUUAGUAAUUCAUUCCAAUAGAAACCGCGAAAAUUUUUUGUCCUGUGUGACAAUUAAAAAAAAAAAAAUGGCAUCCCGGCAAGACGAUGAAUUUGAGGAAUUACAAUCCACAACGUACAUAUAUCCUUCUGAUGUUCAAACCGUUAUCGAACAGGUUUUACCGAGUACCGAUCCCUUGGAUCAGCCAAACUUCAAUGCUGUGGAUUACAUAAAUUCCUUGUUUCCCACUGAGCAAUCGUUAUCCAACAUAGAUGAUGUGAUAAGUAAAAUGGAAUUCAAAAUUUGUUCCAUUGAUCAGGAAAUUCGAUCAGUUGUCAGGGGGCAAACUAAUGUCGGGCAGGAUGGCCGUGUUGCGUUGGAAGAUGCUCAUAAAGUGAUCAGACAGUUAUUCGUCCAUAUUAAGGACAUAAAGGAUAAGGCAGAGCAAUCUGAAGAAACUGUUAAGGAAAUUACUCGAGAUAUAAAACAACUGGACUUUGCUAAGAGGAAUUUAACAUCAUCUAUCACUGCUUUGAAUCAUUUACACAUGUUGGUCGGAGGUGUAGAUAGUUUGAAAGCUCUAACGCAGAAAAAACAAUAUGGGGAGAUAGUCAUGCCUCUUCAAGCUAUUAUGGAAGUUAUGCAACAUUUUAGUAAUUACAUGGAUAUUCCUCAAAUUAAACAGCUUUCUGAUCAGGUGAAACAGAUUCAAGUCGAGUUGGCUGAACAAAUAACUGCCGAUUUUCGAGAAGCAUUUUCUGGUCAGAAUCCCAAACACUUUGCUCAACUAAGCGAAGGGUGUCUUGUUAUGUCAGUCUUAGAUCCUAGAGUGAAGAAAGAUCUGCUGAGCUGGUUUAUUGCCAUGCAAUUACAAGAGUACUCUCACUUGUUCGAUGAGAAUCAAGAUUCAGCUUGGUUGGAUAAAAUUGACAGACGAUAUGCUUGGAUAAAAAAACAUUUAUUAGAAUUUGAGAGCAAGUUUGGUUCAAUAUUUCCUCAAAACUGGGAAGUCUCUGAAAGGAUUGCUGUGCAGUUCUGUCAUAUGACGCGAGAAGACUUGAGCAAACUUAUGGAGCGAAGGCGACAUGAAAUUGAUGUCAAACUUCUUCUUUACGCAAUACAGAGGACUACAAGUUUUGAAAAUUUAUUAGCUAAAAGGUUUGCCGGACUUACGCUGGAAAAUUCUGACACACUCUCUGAAAAAAAAACCACAAAUCCUUUCGAAGAAAAUGAAGAGGCUAAAAACCCCUUUGAGGAAGGGUAUACCGAGCAAGGAGAGCCAGAAAAAUCUAACACAUCUUUGUUCACUCGUUUAAUUGGAAAGUGUUUUGAACCAUACCUGAAUAUUUAUAUAGAAAGUCUGGAUAGAAAUUUGGCAGACUUGAUGGACAAAUUUUUAAAUGAUUGUAAAUUGCAACCUCCCGGAGCAAAAGAGCUCGAUGGAGUGGAGGGGCCGAGUAGUGUGUUAUCUUCAUGUGCAGAUCUUUUUGUGUUUUACAAAAAGUGUAUGAUACAAUGUACACAACUUAGUACAGGCUUUAUCAUGCUUAAUCUGACUUCCAUUUUCCAAAAGUAUCUUCGAGAAUAUGCAUUGAAACUGUUGCAGAAUAAUUUACCAAAAAUUGGCAGUGGUGCUAGUAUUGGGACCAGUAUGAGUAACAUAACACGCGAUCUUCGAGACCUGUCAACAGCCGGUCUUAUACAAAAUUUCCAAAGCUUUCUGAAAGAAGGUGAAGCUACUAGAUUUAGUAAGGAGGAACAAUCUCGGAUUUGCUGUAUUCUGACAACAGCGGAAUAUUGUCUCGAGACAACCCAACAACUAGAAGAAAAGCUGAGAGAAAAGACAGAUGCACAGUUUUCGGAGAAGAUUAAUUUGUCACAGGAACAAGAUAUAUUUCACAGUGUUAUAUCCAACUGUAUUCAGCUGUUAGUACAAGAUCUGGAGUCUGCUUGUGAAUCCGCAUUGACUGCAAUGAGCAAGGUACAAUGGAUACACAUUGAAAGUGUUGGAGACCAAAGUGCCUACGUCAGCACUAUCGUUUCACAUCUUAGGCAGAAUAUUCCCUCUAUUCGAGAAAGAUUAUCAUCUUGUAGAAAAUAUUUUACACAACUUUGUGUUAAAUUCGCGAGUUCAUUCAUUCCUAAAGUAGUGCAGCAGCUGUAUAAAUGUAAGCCUUUGAACACAGUUGGGGCAGAACAGUUGUUACUAGAUGUUCACAUGCUCAAGACAGCACUACUCGAUUUACCAUCAACUGGUUAUCAAAUACAAAGAAAAGCACCUGCCACAUACACAAAGGUAGUUGUCAAGGGUAUGACUAAAGCUGAGAUGAUAUUGAAGGUUGUAAUGUCUCCUGCAGAAUCUCCGAGUGCCUUUGCGGACCAGUGUAGGAAACUGCUUCCUGAUUUACCAACCGCAGAAUUUCAGAAAAUACUCGAUAUGAAGGGACUACGAAGAACAGAACAGAUGCAAUUAGUGGACCAAUUUAGGCAUAGUGGAAGCAGCUUGUUGUUGGGAGAUACCACGAACGUUACUCAAGAUAGUCCAGAGCAUGAGGCUGGACGAAUUAAAAGGUUAGAAAAAUUGAUAAAGAAAAGGAUGUAAAUGAUUGGACUUUUUGGGUCCUCUUUUAAAAAUAGUUUUUUACACCGUGAUAGUGGCUGGAAAAUUUACAUGUCAAUUUCCAAUACCGAUAGAAAACCGAAACGCUAAUGAAAACUAAGCAUUUGAUAUGCUGAAUACAGCAUGGAAAAAAUUUCGGGUAAGAAGGUUAUAACAUUUACUUCAGUUGCUGAAUGCGUCACUAUAAAUUAUAUUAUAUUCAUAAGACCUGUACUGUACAAUUAUGUCUAAACAUCGCAUUUUCUGAUACAGCUGAGUGUAUAUAGUAGCACGGACAAACUACAAGGUAGACUACAUGCGUAUAAUAAAAAAUAUUACUGUCAUUUA